GCCAACUUUCCCAGAUAAGAAGUUGUUUGUCACAGACCACAGCGGAGCCAGCGCCAUCUUGUAAUGGCGACCAUAAUCUGCAGAAACGGCAGAAGGGCUCACCACAGACAUAUGGACUUGGAUGCUCUAUAGAGGUUUCUUAUGAAAUAUCUCAACUCCUUCAACUUUUACUAGAUGUCUUCCAUUAAGAUAGGGGCAAAGCCAAAAUCUGCAGCUACUGGCUGAAGGCCUUGAGCAGACAUCCCACUGUCUAGUGUCAGUUGUAAGCUAAAGUUGUCACUUAUGUUCUUGUAACAAGAAUAAAACUUAGCUUAUUCUUAUAUUCCAUAUUCAGUUAAUGGUAUCUCUAAGAACCAGUAAUAUAAUUUGAGAUGCUUAAUAAUGGAUAAAAAUGUAAGUUCUCUUGUUCAAAAAUAUUGAGAAUUAUAAGACCCUGAUAGAAGAGAAUGAAGUGUAAGACCCUGUGUGACUGCCCAAAGUUGACCAGAUAGAGACCCGAGUCAUCUCUCCAGCAGACCCUCAUCCAAUAGAACACUGGUCUUUCCAAUCUAGCUGUCCUAAUGCUUCUAAUAUUUCUCUCUUUUUCCAAUCCAAGGUCAUGCUUUAAGUCUUUUGCCAUUUACUAUUGAGAUAUUAUAAUAACCACCUAGCAACCACAUAACUGUUCUCACUGCUUCAAAUCUAUUCUGAUAUUUUCUCAUCACUUCAUACUUACUUGAUACCCUCUCAGCUCAUGAACAUGCCUCUAGUAUUAUUCAUCAUGGCAUUUACAUAUCUUUUUAUAGUGCUUAUGUUUAAUAACCAAUGUUUUAAAUAUGUUGCUAAAUUCUACAAUAUAAAAUGAAAAUUCUGUCAAUCCGCCCAUAGACCAAUUAGCAAGUGAAAUACCAUGCACAUAUGUACACACAUACAGCAAUAAUCACUCUGUGAAGGCAAAGGUAACAUGUAUUGAAAGAGAUUCAAAAAUCCAUAGGAAUAGAAGUGAGAGAGAAUUCCCUAAAAGUUCUCCAGGUGAGACUGAAUAAUGGCCAAAGCAGUGGUACCCGAAUGGGAAUGGAUAGGUAAAAGUGGUUGUAUCAGAGUAAUCAAGCUCCUCACACCCUUGGAGAAUUAAAAGUUCUAAGACAGAUACUCUUCCAAAGCUGCUUUCACCAGAAGACAGGUGAUUCUGCUCUUUGCCUUUCCUCAUUUUCCCUGCUUACAACACUUUUGAAAGUCAAGACAAAAUAAAAACAGUUUCCCUUCUGACUUAACUGACAGCGUGGUUACUGGGUGGCAUGGCAAGACACUGCUAACCUGUCUUCCCAAGUGACAGUCCCAUGUUGCAUUCCCUACCAGACAUCAACUGUGUUCUGGUUGCUCCACAUUCUCACCAGCAUUUGGUGCUGUCAGUAUUGUGGAUUUUCAAGGCUGCUCUACAAAUGUAGAAAUCCAGAAAAGUAAUUUGAGAUUUCCAAAGACAUAGGAUGUUAAUCAUCUUUGCAUUUGCCUAUUUACCAUCUGUAUGUCUUUUCUUAGUGAAGUGUCUUGCACAAAACUUUUGUCCAUUUUUUAAAUUAAGUUGUUCAUUUUCUUAGUUUUGAAUUUUGAGAGUUCCUUUUAUGUUUUUUAUAGUAGUCAUUUACCAGAGAUAUUUUUAUGCAUACUUUCUCCCAGUAUGUGGUUUGUCUUUUCAUUCCAUUAACAAUAAUAUCAUUUGCUGAGAAGAACUUUUUUAUUGUAAUAAAAUCCAACUUUGAUUUUGUGUUUAAAAGUUGUUGCCAAACUCAAAAUCACCUAGAUUUUUCCCUAAAUUAUCUCCAGUAGUUUUAUGUUCACAGCAGUAUUUAAAAAGAUGACUUUGUUAGAAUUUUUAAAAAAUAAUUAUUUAA
rnacentral:lncRNA from 1 species